CCGGCGUCGGCGGGGUUACACACUUCAAUUGGGCGCGACGCUUUGGCAGGCGUAUGGUAGGUUGUGACCCACAACGCCACCAAAGUUCCUGCAGGCCAGUCUCCUUUUCUCUCGUACCCGCUCUCGAUCGCUUCAAUCUCCCUGCUCAUAUGAUGCAAUGCAUUGGCGGCGGCGUGGUGUUCCUGCUUUCCGCAGAUCCUUUGCCGGUGACCCUCUCCCUCACCAUUGUGUUGCUGCUGGUCAACGAGCUCGCUAGCUGCUGGGCACGCCUUGAACCCGUGGGGACCAUGUGAAUGUCGAGGAGAGGAGCCAUGAGGGUUCUGUUCAUGGUCAUGUAUCCUGGGUUAAUCAUGGAUCUUUAACUGUUAAAUCUGUGCAUUUUACAUAUCUUGCAUAUUGUUCUGCAUAUAUGGUCUGAUCAACUAUUUGUGGUAAGGAUGAACAUUAGUAUGACGAAAAAACAUCUAAACUAAAAUUACAAGUUAAGGCUUUUAAGAUAAAUUAAUAUAUCACAGCAGGACGGAUGUAUUCAGAUGUAAGUCAGCACACAUUUUUAUUCCACAAAUAGGAUUCAGAGUUUAUAGGAAAUGUUGUCCCCGAAUAGUUUUUUGAACUGCAUGUUGUAAACGACCAAGAGCCAAUUCGAAUUGAUCUUGUAACAGAUCCGCAACGUGGUGUAAAAAGUAUAUAACUUUUGUGAGGCCAGCUCUAGGACAAAGUGAAAAACGUCUGUGAUAUCUCAAGUGAGACUUUUUUUUCUGAAUCAUUAACUGGUCGUCAGUAAGGAAUUAUGCCAUUAGCUUUUUGUAAAAAUGCAAAAAAAUUAGUCGAUCAGAAACACCAUGAUGAUGUGGACAUGUCUGUUGUCCUACAGCUCGACUAGAUGCUGGUUGUAUUGGGCAAAAAAAAGAUGUUUCUUAAACAUUAUUAUUAUGUCCCAUUAGUCGGAAUGCUAACUAAAUAGUCGUCGUAUAUAUGACCUAUUAUUUCAUUUAUUACAUGGAACGUCAACAAAGUAAUCGAUAUUAAUUAUUCCCAUUGAGACAGCAAGGAAUGUGUUCAAGGCUUAGCAGACACUUUCAUUUUACUUAUGAUGAUGCCAUAAACUUGAUGAUUUACACAUAGACUAUGUGCAUUGCUAUGGAGUAUUAAUUUUUCAUGUACAGAUUAGUCAGGGUGUGUACUGCUAUGGGAGAGGAGCUCCCGACUCACGCCCUAGAGUGUGAGGACGAAGCAGGGGGCAGUAGCCUUGGAGAGAGGGUUGGGAGUUUGCGGCGGCAGAGGAGGAGCCACGCUUGCCGGCUGCAGCGACUACUCGGAGUGGAGGUGGAGCGAAGCAGCGGGUUCACGUAAGGCCUGCCCGAGUGCAUCGAGUUUAGGGGCAGCCGUACCCUGCACACAUGGUGGGGGGAAAUGUGCUAGCAAGGGUAUGAUUGAGCAUGAUGGACAUGAUGGCAGGAAAGAGAAGGGGAGAUCUCAUAAAGUGCUUUGCCGAUUGGCGAUGCAAUGCUUGUGAUCUGGAGAGCAAGCCAAGGUGGUUGGAUGAUCUCAAACCAUCAAAUGGUGCAAUUGAGUUGUAUGCCAAAAUUGAUGGUUUCGGGAAGCUGAGUUGUAUCUCCAGAAGGGUGGAUCCCUUAACUAUGAGAUUGUGCUUUGAUAUUUCUACUACCAGCCAUGUGUUUUAGAAGCAAUCUCUGGAAUACUGCACCUCUAUAAUUAUUAUGUGGACUACCAUGUGAUACUCGACCUCUCAAUCCAUACUCUGAGAUGCAUUUUAUCUGACCAUAAUGCCAUUGGUUUCAGAUAAUCCAAGCCGCAUGAUAGUGGCAUAAACCCAAGCAUGUUGUUCUUCAAGAUGAGGAGCCAGGCCUGACGUCAAACAUAGGAAAAGGUGGUGCAGUGGAAGAAUACGACUUCAUUCUAGUGAGAUGUGGCUCAAGUGGAUGUUGGCGAUACAGCAGUGAGAAGAUCCCCUUGCUUGGCUGCUCCCGAGUCCUCCGAAUCGCUUUGUUUUCUUAGAAUUUAUUUCUCUUUCUUUCACAAGUAGGUAUUUAAUACUUUGAAGUUGUGCUCUGUCAUCACCUUCUCCUUGCCUGUCUUUUGGAGAAUAUUAGGCUUUGAUAUCAA